rnacentral:rRNA from 1 species
AUUGAACGCUGGCGGCAUGCCUUACACAUGCAAGUCGAACGGUAACAGGUCUUCGGAUGCUGACGAGUGGCGAACGGGUGAGUAAUACAUCGGAACGUGCCUAGUAGUGGGGGAUAACUACUCGAAAGAGUAGCUAAUACCGCAUGAGAUCUACGGAUGAAAGCAGGGGAUCGCAAGACCUUGUGCUACUAGAGCGGCCGAUGGCAGAUUAGGUGGUUGGUGGGAUAAAAGCUUACCAAGCCGACGAUCUGUAGCUGGUCUGAGAGGACGAUCAGCCACACUGGGACUGGGACACGGCCCAGACUCCUACGGGAGGCAGCAGUGGGGAAUUUUGGACAAUGGGCGCAAGCCUGAUCCAGCAAUGCCGCGUGCAGGAUGAAGGCCUUCGGGUUGUAAACUGCUUUUGUACGGAACGAAAAGCCCUGGGUUAAUACCCUGGGGUCAUGACGGUACCGUAAGAAUAAGCACCGGCUAACUACGUGCCAGCCGCCGCAGUAACAC